AGGACGAACGCUGGCGGCGUGCUUAACACAUGCAAGUCGAACGGAAAGGCCCUGCUUGCAGGGUGCUCGAGUGGCGAACGGGUGAGUAACACGUGGGUGAUCUGCCCCUUACUUUGGGAUAAGCCUGGGAAACUGGGUCUAAUACUGGAUAGGACCAUGCUGUAGGUGGUGUGGUGGAAAGAUUAGUUUCGGUAAGGGAUGAGCUCGCGGCCUAUCAGCUUGUUGGUGGGGUAAUGGCCUACCAAGGCGUCGACGGGUAGCCGGCCUGAGAGGGUGACCGGCCACAUUGGGACUGAGAUACGGCCCAGACUCCUACGGGAGGCAGCAGUGGGGAAUAUUGCACAAUGGGCGAAGCCUGAUGCAGCAACGCCGCGUGCGGAUGACGGCUUCGGUGUAACGCUUCGCUGUGACGAGCGUGAGUGAGGUAAGAGGUAAAGAAGCACGGCUAACUACGUGCCAGCAGCCGC
rnacentral:rRNA from 1 species